UACGUAGGGGGCUAGCGUUGUCCGGAUUUAUUGGGCGUAAAGAGCGUGUAGGCGGCCUGACAAGUCUGCUGUGAAAACUCGAGGCUCAACCUCGAGAUGUCGGCGGAAACUGUCUGGCUAGAGUCCGGAAGAGGAGAGUGGAAUUCCUGGUGUAGCGGUGAAAUGCGCAGAUAUCAGGAAGAACACCUAUGGCGAAGGCAGCUCUCUGGGACGGUACUGACGCUGAGACGCGAAAGCGUGGGGAGCGAACAGG
rnacentral:rRNA from 1 species